CAGAGCAUAGCUAAUACAGUAUAGCAUUUCACUUACACCGAGAAGAUAUCUGUGCAAAUCAGAUUGUUCUGA
rnacentral:tRNA from 1 species